rnacentral:rRNA from 1 species
GUGGGGAAUAUUGCGCAAUGGGGGAAACCCUGACGCAGCGACGCCGCGUGGAGGAUGAAGGCCUUCGGGUUGUAAACUCCUUUUGUAGGGGAAGAUAAUGACGGUACCCUGCGAAUAAGCCACGGCUAACUCUGUGCCAGCAGCCGCGGUAAGACAGAGGUGGCGAGCGUUGUUCGGAAUUACUGGGCUUAAAGGGCGAGUAGGCGGUGGAGCAAGUCUGAGGUGGAAUCCUACGGCUUAACCGUAGAACUGCCUUGGAAACUGUUUUACUUGAGUCAGUGAGGGGAGGGCGGAAUUCCUGGUGUAGCGGUGAAAUGCGUAGAUAUCAGGAGGAAGGCCUGUGGCGAAAGUGGCCCUCUGGCACUGUACUGACGCUGAGGCGCGAAAGCGUGGGGAGCAAACAGGAUUAGAAACCCUAGUAGUCC